UCCGGUUUGACACCGGCAGUCUCCCUAGAGUGCCCGGCAUAACCCGCUGGUAACUAGGGACGAGGGUUGCGCUCGUUAGAGGACUUAACCCGACAUCUCACGACACGAGCUGACGACAGCCAUGCAGCACCUGUACUAGUUGUACCCCGAAGGGCCUACCCCGCUUUCACGGGGAUAAUCCUAGCAUGUCAAGCCCAGGUAAGGUUCUGCGCGUUGCUUCGAAUUGAACCACAUGCUCCACCGCUUGUGCGAGCCCCCGUCAAUUCCUUUGAGUUUUAGCCUUGCGACCGUACUUCCCAGGCGGUCGACUUAGCACUUUUGCUUCGACCGUAAUGGCGUCAGAGCCACUACGAUCUAGUCGACAUCGUUUACAGCCAGGACUAC
rnacentral:misc_RNA from 1 species